GAAACCGUUCAGGGGUAAACCCGAGAAACCCAAAAGAUCGAAAGGGGAGAUUCAUCGGCGACGAAACUGGCUCCCGUUGGUGCGCGAUAUCCCGUUGGUACCUUCCCGGUACCAAAGCGAGUGGUACGCCGCCUUCGGCGUUUGUCCGGCUGCGUAGUCGUGCACUUCUCCUCUAGUAGAACGUCGCGACCCGUUGCGUGUCGGCCUGAGGGCUGAGCGGUCGACUGCUGCGUCGCCUCUGGCGUGCACGGCAGACCCUCGGAAGCCUGGCCGGCUGCGCGACGGUACUCUGACGGUAUCGGGCCGCAACCAAUCCAUUUUCGAAUGUGCGUGCGUCGGGCCCGUCGCAAGUUCGGUCAGUUUACCCGGAGGUACGGACCUGGUGCCGUCCCCGGGCCUGGCCAGCUGUUGGCAGACGGUGUCCUCGGACUGGCCAAGCUUCGAAUUACCGGUCGGCGACGCUAUUGCUUUGGGUACUCUCGGGACCCGUCUUGAAACACGGACCAAGGAGUCUAACAUGUGCGCGAGUCAUUGGGCUCGAUAAACCUAAAGGCGAAAUGAAAGUGAAGGUCGUCCUUUGCGUCGACCGAGGGAGGAUGGGUCGCGUUACUAUGCGACUCCGCACUCCCGGGGCGUCUCGUUCUCAUUGCGAGAAGAGGCGCACCUAGAGCGUACACGUUGGGACCCGAAUGGGGG
rnacentral:rRNA from 1 species